GACGAACGCUGGCGGCGUGCUUAACACAUGCAAGUCGAACGGUGAUGCUCCAGCUUGCUGGAGUGGAUCAGUGGCGAACGGGUGAGUAACACGUGAGCAACCUGCCCCAGACUCUGGAAUAAGCGCUGGAAACGGCGUCUAAUACUGGAUACGAAACUGGCCCGCAUGGGCAUGGUUGGGAAAGUUUGUCGGUUUGGGAUGGGCUCGCGGCCUAUCAGCUUGUUGGUGAGGUAAUGGCUCACCAAGGCGACGACGGGUAGCCGGCCUGAGAGGGCGACCGGCCACACUGGGACUGAGACACGGCCCAGACUCCUACGGGAGGCAGCAGUGGGGAAUAUUGCACAAUGGGCGGAAGCCUGAUGCAGCGACGCCGCGUGCGGGAUGACGGCCUUCGGGUUGUAAACCUCUUUCAGCAGGGAAGAAGCGAAAGUGACGGUACCUGCAGAAGAAGCACCGGCUAACUACGUG
rnacentral:rRNA from 1 species